rnacentral:rRNA from 1 species
GAUGAACGCUGGCGGCGUGCCUAAUACAUGCAAGUCGAGCGAAUGGAUUAAGAGCUUGCUCUUAUGAAGUUAGCGGCGGACGGGUGAGUAACACGUGGGUAACCUGCCCAUAAGACUGGGAUAACUCCGGGAAACCGGGGCUAAUACCGGAUAACAUUUUGAACCGCAUGGUUCGAAAUUGAAAGGCGGCUUCGGCUGUCACUUAUGGCUGGACCCGCGUCGCAUUAGCUAGUUGGUGAGGUGACGGCUCACCAAGGCAACGAUGCGUAGCCGACCUGAGAGGGUGGUCGGCCAAACUGGGACUGAGACACGGCCCAGACUCCUACGGGAGGCAGCAGUAGGGAAUCUUCCGCAAUAGACGAAAGUCUGACGGAGCAAUGCCGCGUGAGUGAUGAAGGCUUUCGGGUCGUAAAACUCUGUUGUUAGGGAAGAACAAGUGCUAGUUGAAUAUUCUGGCACCUUGACGGUACCUAACCAGAAAGCCACGGCUAACUACGUGCCAGCCGCCGCGGUAA